rnacentral:rRNA from 1 species
AGUGAACGCUGGCGGUAGGCCUAACACAUGCAAGUCGAACGGCAGCACAGUAAGAGCUUGCUCUUACGGGAGGCGAGUGGCGGACGGGUGAGGAAUACAUCGGAAUCUACUUUUUCGUGGGGGGUAACGUAGGGAAAAUUACGCUAAUACCGCAUAAGACCUACGGGUGAACGCAGGGGAUCUUCGGAACUUGCGCGACUGAAUGAGACGAUGUCGGAUUAGCUAGUUGGCGGGGUAAAGGCCCACCAAGGCGGCGAUCCGUAGCUGGUCUGAGAGGAUGAUCAGCCACACUGGACCUGAGACACGGUCCAGACUCCAACGGGAGGCACCAGUGGGGAAUAUUGGACAAUGGGCGCAAGCCUGAUCCAGCCAUACCGCGUGGGUGAAGAAGGCUUUCGGUUUGUAAAGCCCUUUUUUUGGGAAAGAAAAGCAGCAGGUUAAUACCCCGCUGUUCUGACGGUACCCAAAGAAUAAGCACCGGCUAACUUCGUG